rnacentral:rRNA from 1 species
GACGAACGCUGGCGGCGUGCUUAACACAUGCAAGUCGAGCGGUAAGGCCCUUUCGGGGGUACGACGAGCGGCGAACGGGUGAGUAACACGUGGGUGGACCUGCCCUCCAGCUCUGGGAGUAAGCCUGGGAAACCGGGGUACGUAAUACCGGAUAUGACUCCAUGACGCAUGUUGUGGGGUGGAAAGCCUUGUGCGGCUGAGGAUGGGCCCGGCGGCCUAUCAGCUUGUUGGUGGGGUGGAUGGCCUACCAAGGCGACGACGGGUAGCCGGCCU